AGCACAGAGAUAAGUGGCUGAGUCUUCAGGUUUAGGGGCUGUGAUGUGCAGAAAGCUUUCCUUCUUUGUUAAUGUGGCUUUUAGCCUUUCUUUCUCCUUUUCUUCCCCAGCUGAAUACAGGGUGAAGAGGAAUUCAGGGCCUUUCCCAGGAUCUUGCCUAUACCAGAACAGCCCUCUUAAACCGCUGACUGUGUAACUGCAGUUGAGACUGCUACUCUCUCCCUCCUGGAGUCUCAGGGCCUCGGGACUCUGCGUCACCUGGUCUUCUCCACUCAACAGCCAAGCUGAAGCCACAAGACUAUGAAUGCACACUCCAACAUUUUCUCCAUGCUGGUAUCUCAGCCUAGAAACAAAUUACGAUAAUUCCAACCUUCUUUUCUCAGAGGCGCCACUUCUG
rnacentral:lncRNA from 1 species